rnacentral:rRNA from 1 species
CGGGGAGGUAGUGACGAAAAAUAACGAUACGGGACUCAUCCGAGGCCUCGUAAUCGUAAUGAGUAUACUCUAAACACUUACACGAGUAUCAAUUGGAGGGCAAGCCUGGUGCCAGCAGCCGCGGUAAUUCCAGCUCCAAUAGCGUAUAUUAAAUUUGUUGCGGUUAAAAAGCUCGUAGUUUGACUUGUGUACCGCGCCGUCGGUUCGCCGCCUGUCGGUGUUCAACUGGCGCGUCUGCGGUACGUCCUGCCGGUGGCCGGACGGCUCUCAGCGGGUACGUAGGGCUCUUCAGCGGAAAUUCCGUUGUCGACCCGAAGUUCCGCUUGUGCAGUCGUCAGCCUAGUCACUCCUGUCGCGGUGCUCUUAACCGGGUGUCGAGACGGGCCGGCACGUUUACUUUGAACAAAUUAGAGUGCUCCAAGCAGGCUCAACGCCUGCAUGUUGUGUGCAUGGAAUAAUGGAAUAGGACCUCGGUUCUUUUUCGUUGGGUUUAAGAACCUGAGGUAAUGAUCAAUGGGGACAGGCGGGGGCAUUCGUAUUGCAACGUUAGAGGUGAAAUUCUUGGAUCGUAGCAAGACGAACAUAAGCGAAAGCAUUUGCCAAGUAUGUUCCCGUCGAUCAAGAACGAAAGUUAGAGGUUCGAAGGCGAUCAGAUACCGCCCUAGUUCUAACCAUAAACAAUGCCUGCCAGCGAUCCGACGACGUUCCUCCUAUGACUCGUCGGGCAGCUUCCGGGAAACCAGAGCUUUUGGGUUCCGGGGGAAGUAUGGUUGCAAAGCUGAAACUUAAAGGAAUUGACGGAAGGGCACCACCAGGAGUGGAGCCUGCGGCUUAAUUUGACUCAACACGGGAAAACUCACCAGGCCCGGACACCAUAAGGAUUGACAGAUUGAGAGCUCUUUCUUGAUUGGGUGAAUGGUGGUGCAUGGCCGUUCUUAGUUGGUGGAGCGAUUUGUCUGGUUAAUUCCGAUAACGAACGAGACUCUAGCCUGCUAACUAGGCGUACCCGGUAUCCUUUAAAGGCUACCGGCGAACAAAAUUUCUUCUUAGAGGAACAGGCGGUUCCCAGCCGCACGAAACUGAGCAAUAACAGGUCUGUGAUGCCCUUAGAUGUCCUGGGCCGCACGCGCGCUACACUGGGUAAGUCAGCGUGUCUCCCCUGUCCGAAAGGACCGGGUAACCCGCUGAAAAUUACCUGUAUCAGGGACUGGGGAUUGUAAUUGUUCCCCAUGAACGAGGAAUUCCCAGUAAGCGCGAGUCAUAAGCUCGCGUUGAUUACGUCCCUGCCCUUUGUACACACCGCCCGUCGCUACUACCGAUUGAAUGAUUUAGUGAGGUCUUCGGACUGGUGCGCGGAGGCCACCGCUCAUGCGCGGUCUUCGAUGCCGCCGGAAAGAUGACCGAACUUGAUCAUUUAGAGGAAGUAAAAGUCGUAACAAGGUUUCCGUAGGU